UCUUUAAACCAAUGCCAUGUUGACUUGUUCUCACCUUCCCCAGCUGCUUUCUGCUCCUCCUGGCGGAUCCCCAGUUAUGCUAGUCCACGACUCCUGAGAAGCAGUUCCCAAGAUCUGUUAAACUUGUUUGGAGCCAACAAACUCCACCUUGGGACUAACUGCAAAUGGCAUCUGUGUCAUUCUUCAGUAACGUUCACACGAGAGUGUUCUGAUCAAGCAUGCAGUCCGCAUCAUGAUUACUCAUCUAUGCAAAGAAUGGAGUCCAAGUUGCUCUGGUGACCUUAGUUCUCAAUAUCCUGGCCCUUCAGUCAAAUGAUGCACUUCUAAAGAGCAUUCACACAAUUGUCUCAUUGAAAAUCCUAGAUGCUGAUUUGCUACAUCACUGAAGCCUAUACUGAGGUCUAAUAAGUAUUUGAAAAGGAUCAUCAGGAAAUAAUCUCUCUUCCAGUCUACCUGCCUGCCAGGAAAAACAGGCAAAUUGUCUUGUUUUAUGUUAAGCCAAGCCAACGGGAAAGAAUUCUUUCUGAUUCACAGUCCACACAGAGCAUUCCUUUUGCAAGUUUACAGAUGAAUAAACCUCACAUUCUAAUUAGGACCCAUCGACCUCCUAAUCAGCUCACCUGAUAGUGAAAAGCAACCCUCUAUUAGUAGUUUCUGGCAAGGGCGCUAUCUGUCUGGAAAGAACUCGUUUUCUCCUAAUUUAGAGCUGUCCUUUGGACUUAAGGAUGUUUGCCUGUUUGCGGGAGCUCGGUAAACAGUCUGUUCUGACACACUCAACCGCUGGCAACUUCACACCAGGAUCCUCACCGGGUCUGCAGACCGAGAAGUAAAUUCAUUAACGCCUGUCAGGCAGGUCCAGUGCUGGUCCAGCGGUAUCAGGAACUGGGACCCAGAACAUGCUCGAACACAUCCGGAAGCCUCCAUGUUGGACGGCUUGGAAAACAAGCCAACAGGGAUGUUGUUGUGGGGUCGUGGAGCCCAACAGUCGAGAGAGAAAUUUUGAGACUUGUAUGGUGCAACUUAGUAAGUUUAUUUAAGUAGCACAGGGACAGGACCUCAGGCAGAAGGGGCUGCGGUUUUGCUGUAUGAAGCUGGUGGUUAUAGGCUUAGUGCUCAAGGUGGAGGGGACGUGCAGGGAGCGUUAGGUCAUAAAUGUUUUCUUCACAUUCCUACCCAUAAAACUACUUUCAUGAGA